rnacentral:misc_RNA from 1 species
CUGCCUCUCCAUCCUCCUUCAUUCUAGGGCCCCUUUUAAGAACUUCCAGCAUGAGCUUACUGGAUUCUUUGGCAUAAACCUGCACUGCUGAACUUCCAUCACCAUCUGGCUCUUUCUGAUAGUGUUGGUCAGCAACAGCAAAUGCUGACUCUUCAAUUUCCUUGGCAUCCUCCUGAGCCUCUUCUUUGCUCAAUAGGCCAUACUUUCUGGAAAUAAUAGACGGAGUGAUAAGAUUCUUCGUCAUUCGCUCUACAAGCAUUAGCCUAGUACUCUGACUAGG